GUGGGGAAUCUUCCGCAAUGGACGAAAGUCUGACGGAGCAACGCCGCGUGAACGAUGACGGCCUUCGGGUUGUAAAGUUCUGUUAUACGGGACGAAUGGUACGACGGCCAAUACCCGUCGUAAGUGACGGUACCGUAAGAGAAAGCCACGGCUAACUACGUGCCAGCAGCCGCGGUAAUACGUAGGUGGCAAGCGUUGUCCGGAAUUAUUGUGCGUAAAGGGCGCGCAGGCGGCGUCGUAAGUCGGUCUUAAAAGUGCGGGGCUUAACCCCGUGAGGGGACCGAAACUGCGAUGCUAGAGUAUCGGAGAGGAAAGCGGAAUUCCUAGUGUAGCGGUGAAAUGCGUAGAUAUUAGGAGGAACACCAGUGGCGAAAGCGGCUUUCUGGACGACAACUGACGCUGAGGCGCGAAAGCCAGGGGAGCAAACGGGAUUAGAUACCCGAGUAGUCC
rnacentral:rRNA from 1 species